GAGUAACACGUGGGCAAUCUGCCCUUCACUCUGGGACAAGCCCUGGAAACGGGGUCUAAUACCGGAUACUGACCCUCGCAGGCAUCUGCGAGGUUCGAAAGCUCCGGCGGUGAAGGAUGAGCCCGCGGCCUAUCAGCUUGUUGGUGAGGUAAUGGCUCACCAAGGCGACGACGGGUAGCCGGCCUGAGAGGGCGACCGGCCACACUGGGACUGAGACACGGCCCAGACUCCUACGGGAGGCAGCAGUGGGGAAUAUUGCACAAUGGGCGAAAGCCUGAUGCAGCGACGCCGCGUGAGGGAUGACGGCCUUCGGGUUGUAAACCUCUUUCAGCAGGGAAGAAGCGAAAGUGACGGUACCUGCAGAAGAAGCGCCGGCUAACUACGUGCCAGCAGCCGCGGUAAUACGUAGGGCGCAAGCGUUGUCCGGAAUUAUUGGGCGUAAAGAGCUCGUAGGCGGCUUGUCACGUCGGUUGUGAAAGCCCGGGGCUUAACCCCGGGUCUGCAGUCGAUACGGGCAGGCUAGAGUUCGGUAGGGGAGAU
rnacentral:rRNA from 1 species